rnacentral:piRNA from 1 species
UGGGAUGCCAGGAUUGACUGUCCAGU